rnacentral:rRNA from 1 species
AUUGAACGCUGGCGGCAGGCCUAACACAUGCAAGUCGAGCGGAUGAAGGGAGCUUGCUCCUGGAUUCAGCGGCGGACGGGUGAGUAAUGCCUAGGAAUCUGCCUGGUCGUGGGGGAUAACGUCCGGAAACGGGCGCUAAUACCGCAUACGUCCUGAGGGAGAAAGUGGGGGAUCUUCGGACCUCACGCUAUCAUAUGAGCCUAGGUCGGAUUAGCUAGUUGGUGGGGUAAAGGCCUACCAAGGCGACGAUCCGUAACUGGUCUGAGAGGAUGAUCAGUCACACUGGAACUGAGACACGGUCCAGACUCCGACGGGAGGAAGCAGUGGGGAAUAUUGGACAAUGGGCGAAAGCGUGAUCCAGCCAUGCCGCGUGUGUGAAGAAGGUCUUCGGAUGGUAAAGCACUUUAAGUUGGGAGGAAGGGCAGUAAGUUAAUACCUUGCUGUUUUGACGUUACCAACAGAAUAAGCACCGGCUAACUUCGUG